rnacentral:lncRNA from 1 species
CCGCCGUUCGCUUUCACAAGUAAUUUGGAGUGGUGCCUCAGUCCGCGUUUCUGAUUGGUCGAGCGAGAAGCGCCGUAUGCAACGCCGCACGCGAUUGGCCCGCAUGGAGAGCGGCGUCUGGCACCGUUCUCAUGCCAACAAAAAAUGGUCGUCUGCGCACGGCGAGGCGCAUUCUCUUUUGUUUCGUUCGACGUUUCCUCUGCAAGGAAAGCAAGGUCCCCCACCGCUCUGAAAUAUCCAGCCCGCUUUGAAUUAGUUUCGACUUGACUUGCUUCCGCGAAGGUCGGGCCCUCCGUGAUCGUGAAUUCGUGAUCUUCAGUGUAUGUGCGUUGUGCUUCCGUCUGUGAAAUGCAAGCUAAUGGAUUAUCCCACUUCUACACCUUCAACUUAUUCGCACGAUAAAGGCUGUUUUGGACAACAUUCAUAAUUUCCGGAUAGUAGUGAUAUGUGGCCCUUUCAUCUGCGAUCUUGGAUUAAUUGUGAUUUUUUGGAACCCAAGUAAAGUAACAAGGAGUGAAGUGAAAGAAUCAAAGGCUUGGUUCAUGUCAACUGUUAACACCUUUCAGUCUGAUGACUUCCGGUCUGACUAGAGCUUGCUAAAAUGCAAGACCAGAGUGGCCAAACUCAAGUCAUGCAGCAACAACCACAGCAACAACAAAUGCAACAGCAAUCACAAAUGCAACAGCAGCAGCAACAACAAAACCAACAAAUGCAGCAGCAAGCCAUGCAAGUACAGCAGCAGGCCCAACAAAACUCAAUGCAGCAGCAGAUGCAGUCCCCAAUGCAGCAGCAGCCUCAGCAGCAAAUGCAGCAACAACUGCAGCAACAACAGAUGCAACAGCAACCACAACAGAUGCAGCAACAACAACAGUUGCAGCAGCAGCAGCUACAGCAGCAGCCGCAGCAAAUGCAGCAACAGCAACAACUGCAGCCUCAACAACAAUUACAACAGCAGCAGCUGCAGCAGCAACAGCAGCAGCUUCAGCAGCAACAGCCGCUGCAAAUCCAGGGCCAACAGCUACAAGGGCCUCUGGGGUCAAUGCCGGUCCAAGUCCAAGUGAUUCAGCAGCAACCACUGCAGAAUGCAGCAUACCUACCACAGUUCUAUAACCCACAAAAUGGUCAGAUCAUAAUGCCGUCAAAUUUGGGGGUCAAUCCAGGUGGCGCAAUUCAGGUCGUCGCAAAUAAAUCAGGUAUAUUUCAACAAGCUGGUCCGCAUAUUCUCACUCAAGCAGGAAAACAAGUUUUAGCUGCUCCAGGUCAAGCUGGUAAAUUUGAUUUUUAUUUUUUUUCUUUUCUCUUUUUAUUAAAUUUAUUUUCUUCUUUCUUGCUAUCUUUUAUUCAACAGUAUUACCUUACUACGAGGAAAAAAUUUUCCAUGGAGAAGGAUUCAGUGGUCAGCUAA